rnacentral:rRNA from 1 species
UACGUAGGGGGCAAGCGUUGUCCGGAUUUAUUGGGCGUAAAGAGCGUGUAGGCGGCCAGGGAGGUCCGUUGUGAAAACUCGGAGGCUCAACCUCGAGACGCCGAUGGAAACCCCCUGGCUAGAGUCCGGAAGAGGAGAAUGGAAUUCCUGGUGUAGCGGUGAAAUGCGCAGAUAUCAGGAAGAACACCCGUGGCUAAGGCGGUUCUCUAGUACGGUACUGACGCUGAGACGCGAAAGCGUGGGGA